UACGUAGGGUGCGAGCGUUGUCCGGAAUUAUUGGGCGUAAAGGGCUCGUAGGCGGUUUGUCGCGUCGGGAGUGAAAUCCACUGGCUUAACUGGUGGCUUGCUUUCGAUACGGGCAGACUGGAGGUAUGCAGGGGAGAACGGAAUUCCUGGUGUAGCGGUGAAAUGCGCAGAUAUCAGGAAGAACACCCGUGGCGAAGGCGGCUCUCUGGAACGCAACUGACGCUGAGACGCGAAAGCGUGGGGAGCAAACAGG
rnacentral:rRNA from 1 species